CUGGCCCUCCCCUUUCCCCCCAAUAGACCCCAGUGUUUAGUACUCCCCUUUCUGUGUCCAUGUGUUCUCAUUUUUCAUCACCCGCCUAUGAGUGAGAAUAUGCGGUGUUUCAUUUUCUGUUCUUGUGUCAGUUUGCUGAGGAUGAUGUUCUCCAGAUUCAUCCAUGUCCCUACAAACGACACAAACUCAUCAUUUCUGAUUGCUGCAUAAUAUUCCAUGGUGUAUAUGUGCCACAUUUUUCCAAUCCAGUCUAUUAUCAAUGGGCAUUUGGGUUGAUUCCAGGUCUUUGCUAUUGUAAACAGUGUUGACUUUUUUUUUAAAUUGCAUUUUAGGUUUUGGGGUUGGAAAAAUAUUUAUGUGACUCACUUUAUUGCAAUAUUUACUUUAUUGGUGUGGUCUGGGAUUGAAUCUGCAGUAUCUCCGAGGCAUGCCUGUACACUGUAACUUUUGGGAAGAGAAGUUUAGACACAGACCUGAACAAAAGGAAGAUGAUGUGAAGACAGAGGGAGAAGAUGGCCAUCUAGAGGCCAAGACUUAUACAAAAUAAACAUCCAUCAAGGUCACGAAAGACAAGGUAACAUUAAGAGAGUAUGAAAGGAUUGGAGGCAACUGAAGAGAAAUCACUCCUGAAUGCAAUAUGGACCCUGGAGCAGAUAAAGGACAUUACUGAAAAACUGGAUGAAAUCCCAACAUGUCUCCUUGUCACCUAUGUCUGUCCCUUCAACUCAGGACCCACACUACAACUAAAUGAUCUUUUCAAAAAGCAAAACUGAUCAUACCAACCACUGCCUCUCAGCAGGUAAAGUACAAACCACAGGGUAAGUACAAACUUCUUAGUAUUAUUGCUGCUAAAGCCUUCCAAGGCUCCUCACUGGGCUGUGCAGCUGUGACUUUCCUUCUUAGCAUCCUAAAGUCUGCUCAGUCAGAGUGACCUGCAGGUCCCUGGUGGGGCCAUGCUGUGCCAUGCCUCCCUGCCUUUCAUCAUGCUGUCCCCUCUGCAGGAGUUGAAAGCUGUCACCACUCUGCUAACUCAACUCAAGCAUCACCACCGCUGGGAUGCUGUCCUGGCCCUCUUCUCAGAUGGAACUGGCCAUUUUCUUUUUGGUGCCUACACCCUGCCCCCAAUCUCACAUGUAUAUGUCUCUGUGUUACUUGCUUUCUUAUUCUGCUAUGUUCUUACAGGUUUAUAAAUUGUUACUCUUGUGUUAGGGGGUGAACUCUUUGAGUCAUUCCUAAGCUGUCCACCUUUUUUUGGAGCUUAAUACAGUACCUGACACUUAUGAAACAUGCAAUCUCAAAUUCUUGCAUAAAUAAAUGAAAAAAUAAAUGACUGUUGUGAGAUAUUAGAAAGUUAGAUAAGCUUCACAAUUGAAUACUAUUUUGAACAAAAGGAAACAUGUAUUAUUUCACCUUAAUUUGUUAUUUUAUAGUUGUAGAACAAUACUGUUCAAACUGGCAGUCCUCAGUCACAUGUAUCUACUGAACACUUGAAAUGUGGCUCUUCUGAAUCGAGACAUGCUGUAGGUAUAAAACUCACACCAGAUUUCAAAGACUUAGUAUCUCCAAAAUGUAUAUUUUUGUAUUGAUUACACUUCAUAAUGAAAAUAUUUUAAGUAUGUUGGAUUAAAAGAAAUAUGUUAUUAAAAUUAAUUUCACCUAGUUUCAAAUGUAUGACUCCUAGAAAGUUUAAAAUUACGUAUGUGGUUCAUACUGGAGGCUUGCUUUAGUUUCUGCUGGAGAGUGUUCUUCUAGAACGGGGUCAGCAAACUAGGGCAUGUGGGCCAUGUCUGGCCAGCCACCUGUUUUGUUACUGUUGCCAUUGUUUUGUUUUUAAUGCCUGUUAACUAAGAAGAAUGUUUCCCAUGUUUUUAAAAUGGUUACAUUUUAUAUAAGUAACUACAUAAUAGAUGUAAUGUCGCCUCUGAGUUCACAGUACCUAAAAUAUUCACUAUCUGUCUGGGCAUGUUGGCUCACACCUCUGAAAUCUCAGCACUUUGGGAGGCCGAGGCAGGAGAAUCACUUGAGACUUGCAGUUUGAGACCAGCCUGGGUGACAUAGUGAGAUCUCUUUUCUACUAAAAAUAAUAAAUGUAGCUAGACGUGGUGGUGCAUGCCUGUGGUCUCAGCUACUUUGGAAGCUGAGGUAGGAGGAUUGCUUGAGCCCAGGAGGUUGAAGCAGCUGUGGGCUAUAAUGGUGCCGCCGCACUCCAGCUUGGGUUACAGAGUAAAACUCUGUCUCCACCCACUCCCAAAAAAGAAAGAAAUUUAAAAAAUUUACUAUCUGGCCUUUAAGAAAACAUGUGCUAACCAUAUUCUAGAAGAUAAGGCCCAUUGUGGUGAAAUGGAAUAAUGAUGAUAACAGCAAAGAGUAGUUACUGCCUUAACAGUAGU